AAGUUAAUACUCCUGGUUGUGGCCAUGGGAUCACCAACUGCAUGCCAGAGCAACGGGAGAGACUUUGACAACCCAGGUCAGCACAGUGCCUCAGUCGCCACUUGCCUUUCUAUAUGC
ensembl:snoRNA